AUUGAACGCUGGCGGCAUGCCUUACACAUGCAAGUCGAACGGCAGCGCGGGAGCAAUACUGGCGGCGAGUGGCGAACGGGUGAGUAAUAUAUCGGAACGUGCCCAGUAGUGGGGGAUAGCCCGGCGAAAGCCGGAUUAAUACCGCAUACGACCUACGGGUGACAGGGGGGGGUCGCAAGACCUCUCGCUAUUGGAGCGGCCGAUAUCAGAUUAGGUAGUUGGUGGGGUAAAGGCCUACCAAGCCUGCGAUCUGUAGUUGGUCUGAGAGGACGACCAGCCACACUGGGACUGAGACACGGCCCAGACUCCUACGGGAGGCAGCAGUGGGGAAUUUUGGACAAUGGGCGCAAGCCUGAUCCAGCAAUGCCGCGUGCAGGAAGAAGGCCUUCGGGUUGUAAACUGCUUUUGUCAGGGAAGAAAUCCCCUGGGUUAAUACCUCGGGGGGAUGACGGUACCUGAGGAAUAAGCACCGGCUAACUACGUGCCAGCAGCCGCCGUAACAC
rnacentral:rRNA from 1 species